AUAGUAAAACAUAGAGACUAUUAUGUGAGUAGAUUGAUGACUUCAUCUCACGAGUCAUGGAUAUGAGAUAUCAAGUCUUCACAUAGAUAUAAAUAUUAGGAGUAAUAUUUAUAUUGGAUUGACCCGCCAUGAGAAUGCUACAUAGUAUGUUAUGAAAAGUGUCAUAAGUUAUUCUCAUAGUGAUAAUGGUGUAUACCACCCUUCGACCGGAAACCACUAUGGACCCUAGAUGUGGAGUAGAGUACUUAGUUGCCGUUCAAACAUUGUCCGUAACAGGAUGACUAUAAAGUCAGUUGAUGGGUACUCUAUAAAUCAUGCUGAGGGACAUGAGUGACCUAGAUGGAAUUUGCCCCUCCUACAUAACAGGAGCAAUAUCUGUAGGCCUCUUGAUGGAAUAUGACUGAUAAAAUGCGUGGCCACGCCGAACUAAGUCAAUAUGAGAUAUUGAGCUUAUUCG
rnacentral:lncRNA from 1 species